UACGUAGGGGGCAAGCGUUGGUCCGGAUUUAUUGGGCGUAAAGAGCGUGUAGGCGGCCUGGUAGGUCUGCUGUGAAAACUCGAGGCUCAACCUCGAGAUGUCGGCGGAAACCAUCUGGCUAGAGUCCGGAAGAGGAGAGUGGAAUUCCUGGUGUAGCGGUGAAAUGCGCAGAUAUCAGGAAGAACACCUAUGGCGAAGGCAGCUCUCUGGGACGGUACUGACGCUGAGACGCGAAAGCGUGGGGAGCGAACAGG
rnacentral:rRNA from 1 species